UACGAAGGGGGCUAGCGUUGCUCGGAAUCACUGGGCGUAAAGGGUGCGUAGGUGGAUCUGUAAGUCAGUGGUGAAAUCUCCAAGCUUAACUUGGAACAUGCCGUUGAUACUAUAGAUCUUGAAUGCUGUGGAGGUGAGCGGAAUAUGUCAUGUAGCGGUGAAAUGCUUAGAUAUGACAUAGAACACCAAUUGCGAAGGCAGCUCACUACCCAGAUAUUGACACUGAGGCACGAAAGCGUGGGGAUCAAAC
rnacentral:rRNA from 1 species